rnacentral:lncRNA from 1 species
AUGUCGUCUUCCCAAUGAGACCUCCCCUGAUUACUCCGCAUAAAAUUAUAACUCUUAUCUUGGUGUUGCUUCUCAACUUUCCCUGCUUUAUUUGGCUCCACAGCACAUAAAACUGAGUAAUUUUACAUACUUCCUCAUGUCCUUAUUCUUUGCCUCCUCGCCUAGGAUGUAAGUCACAUGAAGGUGGGGACUUUAUUUUGUCUUACUUCACUGCCUGCGUGUGCGUUAAAUGACUGAUGAAGAGCUGUGUGCUAAUGCUGAGAAACUCCUGACGAGGCUGAACUUGAGUGUACAGUCAACGAGUACGGUACUUGAGGGCCGCGAGGUUUGGAAUGAACUCCUGAAGAAUACAGAGGACGAGCAUCUGAAAUCUCCACUUCCCGUGAUUAAGCAGGCAGCAGGAUAUGCCUUUGCCACGCCUAUCUAAUGGCGAAAAAGGAAAACCUGGAUUCUCCUGAGUGGGCACCUGAAAGAGACUCUGCACAUGGGGCUGGAGGAAAUGUACACCCCACACUCCUGCGCUUCUGCCCAGCUGGAGGCAAAAGACUCCAAGGCUUUAGGCCAUGGUUAAGCCUGAAGACAGGAUGAGCCGGGAGCCCUGAAUUCGGCUUGAGGAGAGCAACUCAAGAAAGCCGGAGUUUUCUGCCCUCAUCAACUGGAUGUUAGUUCUCUCCUUGGACUGAUCUCUGCUGGCAGGUUGCUGUAACAUCCACAUACUUAUAUGCUUCAGGGCUGGAAUGUCCUUCUGAGUGUAUUAAACUAUGUCACUGGUCUCCCUCCCGUGAUGGGAGGAAGGAAACUCAGAGGAGGAAAGAGAAGAAAAGAG